rnacentral:tRNA from 1 species
GCGAGAGUGGCGGAACUGGCAGACGCGCCGGCCUUAGGAGCCGGUGGCCUCGGCCGUGCGGGUUCGAGUCCCGCCUCUCGCA